GUUACAGCCGGCGAUGUCCGAAUGGGGAAACCCAGUGCAAUUCGUUGCACUAUCGUUAACUGAAUACAUAGGUUAACGAGGCGAACCGGGGGAACUGAAACAUCUAAGUACCCCGAGGAAAAGAAAUCAACCGAGAUUCCCCCAGUAGCGGCGAGCGAACGGGGAGCAGCCCAGAGUCUGAAUCAGCUUGUGUGUUAGUGGAACGGUCUGGAAAGUCCGACGGUACAGGGUGAUAGUCCCGUACACCAAAAUGCACAGGUUGUGAACUCGAAGAGUAGGGCGGGACACGUGGUAUCCUGUCUGAAUAUGGGGGGACCAUCCUCCAAGGCUAAAUACUCCUGACUGACCGAUAGUGAACCAGUACCGUGAGGGAAAGGCGAAAAGAACCCCGGCGAGGGGAGUGAAAAAGAACCUGAAACCGUGUACGUACAAGCAGUGGGAGCACCUUCGGGUGUGACUGCGUACCUUUUGUAUAAUGGGUCAGCGACUUAUAUUCUGUAGCAAGGUUAACCGUAUAGGGGAGCCGCAGGGAAACCGAGUCUUAACUGGGCGUUAAGUUGCAGGGUAUAGACCCGAAACCCGGUGAUCUAGCCAUGGGCAGGUUGAAGGUUGGGUAACACUAACUGGAGGACCGAACCGACUAAUGUUGAAAAAUUAGCGGAUGACUUGUGGCUGGGGGUGAAAGGCCAAUCAAACCGGGAGAUAGCUGGUUCUCCCCGAAAGCUAUUUAGGUAGCGCCUCGUGAACUCAUCUUCGGGGGUAGAGCACUGUUUCGGCUAGGGGGUCAUCCCGACUUACCAACCCGAUGCAAACUACGAAUACCGAAGAAUGUUAUCACGGGAGACACACGGCGGGUGCUAACGUCCGUCGUGAAGAGGGAAACAACCCAGACCGCCAGCUAAGGUCCCAAAGUCAUGGUUAAGUGGGAAACGAUGUGGGAAGGCACAGACAGCCAGGAUGUUGGCUUAGAAGCAGCCAUCAUUUAAAGAAAGCGUAAUAGCUCACUGGUCGAGUCGGCCUGCGCGGAAGAUGUAACGGGGCUAAACCAUGCACCGAAGCUGCGGCAGCGACACUAUGUGUUGUUGGGUAGGGGAGCGUUCUGUAAGCCUGCGAAGGUGUGCUGUGAGGCAUGCUGGAGGUAUCAGAAGUGCGAAUGCUGACAUAAGUAACGAUAAAGCGGGUGAAAAGCCCGCUCGCCGGAAGACCAAGGGUUCCUGUCCAACGUUAAUCGGGGCAGGGUGAGUCGACCCCUAAGGCGAGGCCGAAAGGCGUAGUCGAUGGGAAACAGGUUAAUAUUCCUGUACUUGGUGUUACUGCGAAGGGGGGACGGAGAAGGCUAUGUUAGCCGGGCGACGGUUGUCCCGGUUUAAGCAUGUAGGCUGAUUGUCCAGGCAAAUCCGGAUAAUCAAGGCUGAGGUGUGAUGACGAGGCACUACGGUGCUGAAGUAACAAAUGCCCUGCUUCCAGGAAAAGCCUCUAAGCAUCAGGUAACAUUAAAUCGUACCCCAAACCGACACAGGUGGUCAGGUAGAGAAUACCAAGGCGCUUGAGAGAACUCGGGUGAAGGAACUAGGCAAAAUGGUGCCGUAACUUCGGGAGAAGGCACGCUGGUGUGUAGGUGAAGUCCCUGCGGAUGGAGCUGAGACCAGUCGAAGAUACCAGCUGGCUGCAACUGUUUAUUAAAAACACAGCACUGUGCAAACACGAAAGUGGACGUAUACGGUGUGACGCCUGCCCGGUGCCGGAAGGUUAAUUGAUGGGGUUAUCCGUAAGGAGAAGCUCUUGAUCGAAGCCCCGGUAAACGGCGGCCGUAACUAUAACGGUCCUAAGGUAGCGAAAUUCCUUGUCGGGUAAGUUCCGACCUGCACGAAUGGCGUAAUGAUGGCCAGGCUGUCUCCACCCGAGACUCAGUGAAAUUGAACUCGCUGUGAAGAUGCAGUGUACCCGCGGCAAGACGGAAAGACCCCGUGAACCUUUACUAUAGCUUGACACUGAACAUUGAGCCUUGAUGUGUAGGAUAGGUGGGAGGCUUUGAAGCGUGGACGCCAGUCUGCGUGGAGCCAACCUUGAAAUACCACCCUUUAAUGUUUGAUGUUCUAACGUUGGCCCCUUACCGGGGUUGCGGACAGUGUCUGGUGGGUAGUUUGACUGGGGCGGUCUCCUCCCAAAGCGUAACGGAGGAGCACGAAGGUUAGCUAAUCCUGGUCGGACAUCAGGAGGUUAGUGCAAUGGCAUAAGCUAGCUUGACUGCGAGCGUGACGGCGCGAGCAGGUGCGAAAGCAGGUCAUAGUGAUCCGGUGGUUCUGAAUGGAAGGGCCAUCGCUCAACGGAUAAAAGGUACUCCGGGGAUAACAGGCUGAUACCGCCCAAGAGUUCAUAUCGACGGCGGUGUUUGGCACCUCGAUGUCGGCUCAUCACAUCCUGGGGCUGAAGUAGGUCCCAAGGGUAUGGCUGUUCGCCAUUUAAAGUGGUACGCGAGCUGGGUUUAGAACGUCGUGAGACAGUUCGGUCCCUAUCUGCCGUGGGCGCUGGAGAAUUGAGGGGGGCUGCUCCUAGUACGAGAGGACCGGAGUGGACGCAUCACUGGUGUUCGGGUUGUCAUGCCAAUGGCACUGCCCGGUAGCUAAAUGCGGAAGAGAUAAGUGCUGAAAGCAUCUAAGCACGAAACUUGCCCCGAGAUGAGUUCUCCCUGAGACUUUAAGUCUCCUGAAGGAACGUUGAAGACGACGACGUUGAUAGGCCGGGUGUGUAAGCGCAGCGAUGCGUUGAGCUAACCGGUACUAAUGAACCGUGAGGCUUAACCUU
rnacentral:rRNA from 1 species